CCUACGGGUGGCAGCAGUGAGGAAUAUUGGUCAAUGGACGAGAGUCUGAACCAGCCAAGUAGCGUGAAGGAUGGCUGCCCUAUGGGUUGUAAACUUCUUUUAUAUGGGAAUAAAAUGUUCCACGUGUGGGAUUUUGUAUGUACCAUAUGAAUAAGGAUCGGCUAACUCCGUGCCAGCAGCCGCGGUAAUACGGAGGAUCCGAGCGUUAUCCGGAUUUAUUGGGUUUAAAGGGAGCGUAGGUGGAUUGUUAAGUCAGUUGUGAAAGUUUGCGGCUCAACCGUAAAAUUGCAGUUGAAACUGGCAGUCUUGAGUACAGUAGAGGUGGGCGGAAUUCGUGGUGUAGCGGUGAAAUGCUUAGAUAUCACGAAGAACUCCGAUUGCGAAGGCAGUUCACUGGACUGCAACUGACACUGAGGCUCGAAAGUGUGGGUAUCAAACAGGAUUAGAUACCCUUGUAGUC
rnacentral:rRNA from 1 species